ACAUGGCUCUUUGUAGAAAAUAAGAUGGAGAGUCGGACCUGCCCAGUGAGUUUUAAGACUUUAACGGCCGCGGUACCCUGACCGUGCAAAGGUAGCAUAAUCAUUUGCCUUUUAAUUGAAGGCUGGUAUGAAUGGUUUGACGAAAACAAAGCUGUCUCUUUCUUAUUAGUUAGAAAUUAAUUUUGAUGUGAAGAAGCAUUAAUAGGCCUAAAAGACAAGAAGACCCUGUUGAGCUUUAAUAGAGAAGAAAGCAAGUAUAUGAAUCAAAAUAAUGUUUUUUUUGUAAUAUUUUAGUUGGGGCGACUGAGGAACAAUAAAAGCUUCCUUUAAAGAAGUGAUAUAAGAUAUAUUUAUGGUGAUCCAAAAUUUUGAUUAAAAGAAUUAGUUACCACAGGGAUAACAGCGUAAUCCUUUUUUAGAGUUCUUAUCGAAAAAAGGGCUUGCGACCUCGAUGUUGGAUUAAGAUUUCCAGUGGGUGUAGAAGCUCUCAUUAGGUUGGUCUGUUCGACCAUUAAAAUCUUACGUGAUCUG
rnacentral:rRNA from 1 species